UUGAUUGUCUUGCAUUGGAGGAAGACACUCACUUGAAGAGGUCUCAAUAGGAAAAAAUGGCUCUCUCAAAGAAGCUACAACAUAUUCCACCUCUCAACUCAUUCAUGUAUCUAAACCAUUAACUCCAUCAACCUUCAGUCUUCCACUUUUCAUUUCAAAUCCUAGUGCAUUACCACCAAUCCCUAAAUCAUUUUCCUACCAAAGCCUUUCCCAAAUCGCAUCCACACUUCCUGCCCUAGCCUUGGCCCACCCUCCUAUGAUCUAAAUCCCUAUCCAAGCCCUCCAAACUUUCAACUACUCACAUCCAGUCCACACUUUAUUCAACCAUAAAACAAACCCAAGGAACAAGAAACUUUAAUCCCUCAUUGUUCCCAUGUAAGAUUAUUCCUGAAUUUCUUUAAGAACAACCAUUAUUGUGCUCCCAAGUCCAAACAUCCUUGGACUUGGAGUCCCAAAGGUUUUGCUUCGUUAAGGAGAUUCGCUUAGGAAGUCUAGAGGUUCUUGAGAUAUCACCGUACGAUGGCAGACAACAAGUUUACAAAUGUUUAGAAAGUCUAGUUGUGCAAAGGUUUUGUGAUUGGAAUAUUUUACGCUAGAAUGCUUUGAACUACGGUGAUGGCUAUAAAUCCUGAAAAGAAAGAAAGAACUAUCAAAGGUGACUGGUGUGACCCGGCCAAGAAUUCUCUGAUAGUUAAGUCAGUUUGCUCUCUAGGACACAAGGAUGGAAAAUAGUUAAUGGUUAAAACUUAUUUGUGGUAGAUGGGACCUGCUCCUUUUAUAGAGAGUUUGACGUGGGUCUACUUGUUUGGGAUCCAUCACCAUCGUGGGUGAUGUUGGUGGUUAAUGAAGAAAAUGGGGUAUGUGGAACGAAAUGUAUGGAAUUCCUUCCACGUACCAAGCUACGUGCCAUGUUUUGCUUAUGUAGAACCUUUGGAGAAUUUCAUGUAGAAUUUACCAAGUACAAUUUGAUCGUCCAUGGGUAUGGUCGUCUAUAACAUGGUCAUCUAUAGACGAGUUCUUUUUGGUGGAUCCCAUUAUUCUUAAUGAAGGGUCUUGUUCAUACA